rnacentral:tRNA from 1 species
UCUCCGUUCAUCUAGUGGUCCAGGAUACGGCACUUUCACUGCCGGUACACGAGUUCGAACCUCGUACGGAGAACCA